CCAAUGAUAUCUCUAGAAGACAUCUGAAAGAGAUUCCCAUUUAUCGGUGAUGGAUGGGGAUGCGUCUGAUUAGCUUGUUGGCGGGGUAACGGCCCACCAAGGCAACGAUCAGUAGGGGUUCUGAGAGGAAGGUCCCCCACAUUGGAACUGAGACACGGUCCAAACUCCUACGGGAGGCAGCAGUGAGGAAUAUUGGUCAAUGGACGAGAGUCUGAACCAGCCAAGUAGCGUGCAGGAUGACGGCCCUAUGGGUUGUAAACAGCUUUUAUAAGGGAAUAAAGUGAGUCUCGUGAGGCUUUUGCAUGUACCUUAUGAAUAAGGACCGGUUAAUUCCGUGCCAGCAGCCGCGGUAAUACGGAAGGUCCGGGCGUUAUCCGGAUUUAUUGGGUUUAAAGGGAGCGUAGGCCGGAGAUUAAGCGUGUUGUGAAAUGUAGAUGCUCAACAUCUGCACUGCAGCGCGAACUGGUUUCCUUGAGUACGCACAAAGUGGGCGGAAUUCGUGGUGUAGCGGUGAAAUGCUUAGAUAUCACGAAGAACUCCGAUUGCGAAGGCAGCUCACUGGAGCGCAACUGACGCUGAAGCUCGAAAGUGCGGGUAUCGAACAGGAUUAGAUACCCUGGUAGUCCGCACGGUAAACGAUGGAUGCCCGCUGUUGGUCUG
rnacentral:rRNA from 1 species